rnacentral:rRNA from 1 species
UAGGGAAUCUUCGGCAAUGGGGCAACCCUGACCGAGCCACGCCGCGUGGGGGAAGGAGGUUUUCGGAUCGUAAAGCUCUGUUUUUAGAGAAGAACGGGGGUGAGAGUGGAAAGUUUACACAGUGACGGUAACUUACCAGAAAGGGACCGCUAACUACGUGCCAGCAGCCGCGGUAAUACGUAGGUCCCGAGCGUUGUCCGGGUUUAUUGGGCGUAAAGCGAGCGCAGGCGGUUUAAUAAGUCUGAAGUUAAAGGCCGUGGCUUAACCAUUGUUCGCUUUGGAAACUGUUAAACUUGAGUGCAGAAGGGGAGAGUGGAAUUCCAUGUGUAGCGGUGAAAUGCGUAGAUAUAUGGAGGAACACCGGUGGCGAAAGCGGCUCUCUGGUCUGUAACUGACGCUGAGGCUCGAAAGCGUGGGGAGCAAACAGG